GUUGGCCAGGAUGGUCUCUAUCUCUUGACCUCGUGAUCCGCCCGCCUCAGCCUCCCGAAGUAUUGGGAUUACAGGAGUGAGCCACGGUGCCCAGCCUCACUGUUUCCGAAACAGCCCUACCAUUAGAUUGGAGUUACUUUCUUGACGUCUGAAGAGCUACCAUGUCUGGGGCAUCUGUCUCAGAACAGAACAACAACAGCUAUGAAACCAAAACCCCAAAUCUUCGAAUGUCAGAGAAGAAAUGUUCAUGGGCCUCCUACAUGACCAACUCCCCGACUCUCAUCGUUAUGAUUGGUUUGCCAGCCCGGGGUAAAACCUACGUGUCUAAGAAACUAACACGCUACCUCAACUGGAUUGGAGUGCCCACCAAAGUGUUUAAUCUUGGGGUGUAUCGGCGUGAAGCAGUCAAGUCCUAUAAGUCCUACGACUUCUUUCGGCAUGACAAUGAGGAGGCCAUGAAGAUCCGCAGACAGUGUGCUCUGGUGGCGCUGGAAGAUGUUAAGGCAUAUCUCACUGAGGAGAAUGGUCAGAUUGCGGUGUUUGAUGCCACCAAUACAACCCGGGAGAGGAGAGACAUGAUUUUGAACUUUGCUGAACAGAAUUCCUUCAAGGUAUUCUUUGUGGAAUCUGUCUGUGAUGAUCCUGAUGUCAUUGCUGCCAAUAUUCUGGAGGUUAAGGUGUCAAGCCCUGACUACCCUGAAAGGAACAGAGAGAAUGUGAUGGAGGACUUCCUGAAGAGAAUUGAGUGCUACAAAGUUACCUACCGACCCCUUGACCCAGACAACUAUGACAAGGAUCUUUCUUUCAUCAAGGUGAUAAAUGUGGGCCAGCGAUUUUUAGUCAACAGAGUCCAGGACUACAUCCAGAGCAAGAUAGUCUACUACCUCAUGAAUAUCCACGUCCAGCCUCGCACCAUUUACCUUUGCCGGCAUGGAGAAAGCGAGUUCAAUCUCUUGGGGAAGAUUGGGGGUGACUCUGGCCUCUCCGUGAGGGGAAAGCAGUUUGCCCAAGCUCUAAGGAAGUUUCUGGAGGAACAGGAGAUAACAGACCUCAAAGUGUGGACAAGCCAGUUGAAGAGGACCAUACAGACUGCUGAGUCUCUCGGGGUGCCCUAUGAGCAGUGGAAGAUUCUGAAUGAGAUUGAUGCUGGCGUGUGUGAAGAGAUGACCUAUGCCGAGAUUGAGAAGCGGUACCCAGAAGAGUUUGCACUUCGAGAUCAAGAGAAGUAUCUGUAUCGAUAUCCUGGUGGGGAGUCAUACCAGGACCUGGUACAGCGGCUGGAGCCUGUCAUCAUGGAGCUGGAACGUCAGGGCAAUGUCCUCGUCAUCUCCCACCAGGCUGUCAUGCGCUGCCUCCUGGCCUACUUCUUGGAUAAGGGCGCAGAUGAGCUACCAUACUUGAGAUGCCCUCUCCAUACCAUCUUCAAACUUACUCCUGUGGCCUACGGGUGCAAAGUGGAAACAAUUAAACUUAAUGUGGAGGCUGUGAACACACACCGUGACAAGCCAACUAACAACUUCCCCAAGAACCAAACCCCUGUAAGGAUGAGAAGGAACAGCUUUACGCCUCUGUCCAGUUCGAAUACAAUAAGGCGUCCAAGAAAUUACAGUGUUGGGAGCCGGCCCCUCAAGCCCCUCAGCCCUCUCCGUGCCCAGGACUUGCAAGAAGGGGCCGACUAGCCGAAGACCCAAGUCAGCAUUCCGGUGGUGUAACCGUGUGUUUCCCUCCAGCCCUGGCCUCCUGCCUUUGCCACUAAUCACCAAGGAGUCAUUUAACUUCCUCCCUCCACCCCGACCCUGACACUUCACCAUGAAUCUUAACACAGAAUAUGAGGUUACGUGUUUAUAGGACAACUUUAGCUGUUCUCCAGUUUGAAACAUCUUUCCACCCAGGGACAAGUUAGCAAAUUGAGUUUUUUAGGACAGAUUCUCAGAUGGGAUGGUCUGGAGGAGGAGGAAAAAGAUAACACUCCCUUGGGGCUGAGCAUGCCCCACACUGUUGGUUCUUCUCUCUGUUCUCUGGUGUCUUACUUCACUAAUGUCCUCGUGUUGGUGAAGUGUUGGGGGAUGGAGGGCGGGUGAGCAGUGGGGGGACAAAAAGUCUAUUUUUCCUUCACUUUCAUCUCUUCAUUGUGUGUUUUCCUCACAGUCCUUACUUGACUGCUUUCUUUCCCCACUUUCAUGUCCCCUCUGGAUUGUCCGGUGUAAUGCAUGACAUUGUGGUGUCUGUCUAGGAAGGAAGGGGUGAUUGGCAAGAGACAAGUCUGGCCCAGUUGAUGCUUUCUGCAGUGGGUCUAAAUGGAUCUGGACUGGAGGAGUCUUUCCUUUCCUUUCUCCCUUUCUCUCCAGCUAUGUCCUGCAAGGGCCAGCCUAGGCUAUAGAACAUUCACAGAAUAUUCUGGAGCUUGCAAGUGGACAUGGGGUGAGAGUUCUUGCCUUCUUUCAUGAGAAACAGUCCUAAGUCUUUGAUGCCCUGGGGGAAUCUGGCUCUCAGCAUGUGGGAAAUGUCUUGGUUUUUAUUUUUAACUUAGUCAGGCCUGGGUCUUUCGAGGUUCGCAGAGUGGGGUUUAGGAGAGUAGGGUGGGCUCUAGCUCUUACAGGACUCUUGGUGAGCAGUCAUAUCUUUUCUCCCAUGGCUCCCAGGUUCUUUGCCAAUCACAGCAACUUUUCCUGCCAAUCCAGUAUCCUCUGGGGCUGUUUAGAAGGGCGGUUAGAUUCAGGAGUCACCACUGAUGUUUGAAUUGCUCAAGGCAAGAGGCAGAGAAGAGUUCACUAAAACUGCUUAUUUUUGAAUACUUUCAGCACACUCUCCUUUAGAAGAAAUAAACAUCAAAACAAUAUAGUUUUUACAUGGGCAUUUUUUUCCCCCAAAUGUGGAAAAACUUGAUGAUGAAUUUAAUCUCUCUCAUUGGAGUAUUCUUUUGUUCCUAAGGAGAAACUAUCUCAUCUUGAUGUCCAGAGAAGUCCUUGGAACCCUGUGGGAUGUAGCUCUUAACUGUUUGUAUUUCUCUAUUCAUUUCUGUCAUUUCAUUUUCUUUGUAGGGUUAAACAUAAAAUCUUCAGGGAAGAAAUUCUUAGCCCCUUGAUGACCUUGAUGGCUUAUCCUCUUCCCCAAUUUUGCCUGCAAAAUGUACAAAUAUAUGUAUGUUUUUCUGAGAGGCAAGUUUAGGGUUCUUAUGGGAUUUUAAAAAGAGAUAGGUGACUCCCCACCUUAAAGUUAUCAGCUUGUCUUUUAGAGGUAACCAGUGGGAAGAAGUUAGCUGUUUUCCAAGGGUGUUUUCAUUUGGUAAUGGAAGACUUUUUGCUGUGGUUCUCAUCCAGGAGUUUUCCUUAGAAUCUCGUUUAGAAUUGUUGAAUCGUAAACAUGUCUGUGUCUACCGUAGUGCUUAAUACUGACUCAGAAUCUCUGGGGUCUGGGUCUGGACUUGCAUGUAUUUAAAGUAGCUUUCCGGAUGAUUCUGAUUCAUAGCCCAGGUUAAGAACUCCACCUUAGAAAGUUAGGUGGAAAAAUACUGGGAUAGUAGUUCCUCAGAGAAAGUGUCAGCCUAGGAAUUCUGAAUUCCUCAUCAUCCUGAAAGGACAGUUCUUUGGGUUUGAUGUUUGAGCAGAUCAUAAUGUUAAAUGAUAUAACUCCCUGGAAGGCAGGCUGCUGUGUUUGAGGGUUAUUCUAGGUUCUAGUCUCAUCUUUAACCCUUUACAUUGCUGAGUGAUGUGGAACAAAUCACUGAAUUAAAUAAUUGCCUCUGGAUUUUAAGCACCCUGGAGAGAGGUACAGACCCUGCAGGAUGAUGAAGGUUGUCUUCACUGGCAACUGACUCCUGACCCCGAGUCCUUUACUCAUGUGUCCCAAGUAGGAUACCACAGCCAGCUUCUAAAGGCUGCUUACGUAGAUUCUUCUCAAAAUUGUGUCCAAUAUGUUAAGUAACCUGCUAUUCUUGUUUAGUGGUUAUAUAACGUGUACUUAGUGUCUUUGUGGAGCUUUGGGCCAGUGCGGGCAGGGAUAGGGGAAAGAUACAUAGAAGUAGAAGCAAAGGUCCCUGCCCAGAGGAAGGUUAUUUUAAGAGACAGGACAUGUAAUUUAUAACAAAUGGACAUUUGCAAUAUAGCAACACUCUGAGUCUGGAAGUGUUCACCAUCACAUCGCUUCUCCUGACUUUUCUGUUGUCCUAUGGCUAUGAGACUACAAGGAUUAGGGGAUGGGGAUGCCCCCACCACCACCAACGUGAGAAUGAGAUAUGGUUGGGGAGGCAUGUUUGGCACUUUUACAAGAUUGCAUUGUCUACAUUUGCUUGGAUGCUGGCAUCUGUAGCCCAAAUGGGCAUUCAGCCUUUCUUCUGCUGUGAGGUGAGAGUAAUUCAGAACUAAUGAAUGAGAGGAGGGAGCACUUUGAUCCACAGACUUUGGAUUAACACUGUACCUACUCCUAGCAAGAGGGGACUUCUCUAACAAGCUAGCAUUGUGUUAACCUGUCAUUAACCCCAGCGUUAGAGACAGGUCAUGGGAUGUUCACUGUGGCUCUCAGCCUGCCGCUAUUUCCCCACUGUCCCCCGUGCUAGUUUGCUUUCUCCAGAAGAGGAGCUGAGGUGGUCUUAUCCUCAGACAGGACAUGAGGAAUUGGAAUUUGAAAAGCAAGGGCCUCAGCAUCUUUUAGUUUCUAAAGCAAGAUACAGAAAAGGAUUUAAAAGACUUUAAAGAAUCCAGAAAAGGAUUUAAAAGACUUUAGUUUCAGAAAAGUCCAGCAGGAAGAAGCCAGGAGAAUGUAGAAUGGAAAAGAGCUCUUACUCCAAAUUUUAGAGAAGUUUCAUCUCUACUUCUCAUCUUUUCUCUCCUGGUUUUCUUACUUGAAUGCAUAUUGGUAGUCUGUAUACAUUACUAUGAUUAUGUCUGUCACAAGUCCUACAAAAUAAAAAUGGACUUAAAGUACUACUCUCUGCUGAGGCUGUAAGUUUUGUUUUGUGAGAAAUAGGUAAAGACAUUAGCAUUUAAUCUACUGGAAGAAGCCGGUUGCUGUGGCUUAUACCUUGGGAGGCUGAGGCCGGAGGAUCACUUGAGACCAGCCUGGGCAAAAUAGUGAGACCUCACCUCUAAAAAAAUUUUUUUUUUAAUUUACUUGUCUAAAGUGGGGAAAGGGAAAUUAUUCUGUUUUCUUAUUCUUGCUUCAAGUCUAUGACAGAUUUGAAAGAGAAUUCUAAAGCAGAUUUAGAGAGCCUGCUUCUCUUCUUAUCUCCUAAUCCCUAAAUUGGAAUUUAGCUCUUAUCUGUAUUGUUGUGUUUUGGUAAAGGGAUGAUUUUACAUUGAGUUGUAAAGUAGAAUCAGCCAAGCUUCUAAAAACUUGCAUGGUACUAGGGAUCUGCCCUCUAUCUUUGCCUUUGGUGUUUUGUUGUUGUUGUUGUUGUUACUGUUUGUUUGUUUCCGAAGAAGUUGGAGUUAAGGACACAAUAUAUUUGUACCCCUAGACUGAAUGGGUGAGUAUUCCAUAUGAGGAUCUGGGUAAUCCUCUUUGCAACCCACAUUUGGUCUUCAGAGACACUGGCAUUUUGAAGAAACAUAUAUAGCUGUUUGGAAAUAAAUUCAUCUAUGUUACUUUUUUUUUUUUUUGUGAGCAGGAGAUCUUAAUUGACAGAAACUCAUUGGUGGUUGGAGUGGCCAAUGGGCAAGGGAAAAAGUAUCCGGUAAUCAGAAGAAUUGUAUCUGGGUUAUGUAAUCUUAUGCGCAUUCCAUUGUCUUUGCCAAGCUCGUAAGCCACGUUGUGUUCAUUGUCAAGAAAUUUGAUGGAUUUACCCAGCUUUUCUAGUAUGUAUUUUGACUUAUUGAAAAUAUAUAACACUUGAGUCAGGUUGCAACACUGGUGGGGUAGAAUUGACUUUCCCUGAAGGUGACACAGAUAUCAGAAGUGUGUCCAGGGAUUUAAUUUAGACCCAUACUGUCCAGGAGACUGUCUCUAGUUGGAUCUCUGUGCUGACUGACUUCAGUGUCUGUAUGCUGACUGACAGACUCUGGUAGUGUCUAUAUGUUGACCAACUGAUAGACUAGUAGGAUCUGUGUACUGACUGACUCUAGUAGGAUCUGUUUGUCACUGACAGACUCUAGUAAUGUCUAUGUGUUGACUGACUGACAGACUCUAGUAGUGUCUAUGUGUUAACUGACUGACAGACUCUAGGAAUGUCUAUGUGUUGACUGACUGACAAACUCUAGUCUGUCCAUGUGCUGACUUAGACUAGUAAAAUCUGGGUGUUGCCUGACUAACGUUAUAGGGUCUGUAAGCUCACAGUCUGCCUGCUUUCUGAUUGUACCCACUGAAGUGUAUGUAUAUUAUAGUAAUUCUCUAUUAAAUGUGUCUAACAAAGAAAGGAAUUAAGCACUCCACAUGUUUUCUUUAUAGGGGAGUUCUGUACACUAUGAUUUUAAAUAGACAUUUCUUAUACAGUAGUGGCCAAAUUCUCAUUAUUUUGUAAAAGAUAAAGGUUAUACAUCACUAUUAUGGUAUUUUGUGAACUCAGCUAAGGGAAUGCCUGUUUAGAGCCUGGAGUUGUUAACUUGAAGUCAUCUCAUCCAGUCCCCUGCUUUAGGGCAGAACUUCAGUUCCACUGUUCGUUUCUGAAGCUUCUGUGUCCCCAGCUUACCCUGUUCUGGAAUGUUGUAUUCCAUUGGAUAGGGCUGCUAUUUUUAGUCAGCCAUGCAUUUGGCUUUAACGCUUAAUCUAGUAAGUAAAAAUGAGCAGAAAAUUUGGCAUUUAAAAAUUGAUUUUAAGGGUUGGCAAAAGUAUUAUUUCCAGUAAGCCUUUCACUGGAUAUCUGUGACCAAUGUUUACCUAUGCAAUGUUUUUGUAUCUGAAUUGCUUAUGUACAUUUUAUAUUAUGUUGACAUAACAAGAUGAUCAACUUACGCUGGUAUAGUGAUGCUUUUGCUAUGUGGGGCUGAGCAUCUCUGGGUUGAAUGGGAAUGGGUCAGAUUGGGAAGCCUAGGAAUAGAGUUCUACUGCAGAUUUCCUAGGCACUGCUCUAUUGAAAGUAGGAACAUAAGUCUUUAGCAACAUUCUGAUUUAAUUGGGUGACACUGAUAACAAAGUAUGCCACUCAGAUCCAUUUAAAGUGUGCAUAACUGUAUUUGAAAUGUGUUUUUGUGUGUGUGUGUGUGUGUGUAGAAUGGGUAAAUAAAAUUGUUGAGUAACUUGAACCUAUCAGAAGGCUUCUGGGUUUUUUGUUUAGUAUUUUCAGUUGUGUUUCCCAUCCGUUCCCCACCCCUAAAACUUUGCCUCAUGCUGCACAAGGAUUCAGACUCAGACAAGCCACGAGAAGUUCUCACUGUAAUUGAAGAUCAUGGUGUAUCCAUGGCUCUCUUCUGCCACCUUCUGGGGAAGACAGGAAGAACAUUAUGGAAAGCACGUGAACUUCAAUAGUUAUGUGUACCUGUUGGCACUUAUGCAAGAAUUAAGAAACAAUUACAUUUGACUGCACUAUGCAGUAAUUCCCAUUAGCAAUAUGUGACUCAUGUUAUCUAUUAUAAAGAAAACUUUUGGAGAUUUUUUAGCACUUAGUGGACUGUUCCUCCUAAAAUGUGAUUUGCCCAUUUCUAAAGAGAUUAUGGUCACGGGUAUAAAACAGCACUUAAUUUCUUUUGAGACAGGAAAUACAGAUGGGAUUGUUUUACCCUUCUCAUGCCUUAUUCCUUGUUACCUUAAAGACCAGAAGCUCAUUAGAAAUGCAGAAUCUCAGGCCGCAUCCCAGACCUCCUGAGUCAGAAUCCUCAUUUUACCAGGACCACCAGGUGAUUCAUAUGCAUAUUUAACAUUUGAGAAGCACCGUUCUAGGGGAAAAAUUUCCCACAAGGUAAAAUGUUAGAUGCCAGUUAAUGGAAAGAAGUUGAUCUGCUCUAAUGACUGAUUUCAGAAUGGACUCGUAUAACUACAACAGUAGGGACCCUCCUCAGAAGCCAAGUAGCCCCUGAUUACAGUGUCACUUUAUUGGCAUGGUGUUUUGGCUGACAUAGCCGACACGAUCUCCUUCUACCAGAGGGAUCCUGACUGCUUCUGCUUCAUAUCUUGGAUAUGUAGCUUAUGGUCCAGGUCUGAAAGGAGUGCCUGGUCCAAUAUGGUCACGAGGUCAGCUCCUCAGGGAAAGAAGCCCAUGACUACGCCAUUCGAGUUUGCCUGACUCCCCAGAGUCAAGGCAGCAGAGACCACGCUGGCUGUGCGCAGACGCCCCUCCGCAGCAUCCCCCAUGUUGCCUUGCUAAUGAUGUGGAUGUUCAGGCCACACCUCUCCAAAGGACUGGGAUCUACUGAAAAGCUUGGGAUGUCAACUCCACAGAGGCUAGAACAGGAAGUUAAGUGGGAACUGGACUUUGGGGGCCACCAAAACGAGGCCUGGAGAAACGCCACCACAUUUCCUCCCCUCCUGCCUAAUGGGAAUAUCAGUUACACUGAAAAAUUUAACUUUCCUCUGCCUCAAAACAUUUAGCAACUUGAACCAAUGACUCUUUGUCAUCUCUUUGCUGGGUUUGGUCCAAGUUGGUCAAUCUCAUUCUGUAUAGGCAUUUAACAUCCUAGCUGUGACUGUCUGCAUCCUUUGCUGGCUCUUUUUUGCCCAAAGUGCAAAUGCACUUCUUCAGAUGUACUUUUCAAGUGAGAAGGUAAGAGCUGGUCUCUGCAUCUGUUCCAGGCGAGCAGGCUAGAGUCUAAUAUACAUAUGCUAGCAGGUACCAUUUGCCACAUUGGAAGCAAGAGACAAAUCAGGUGAAUGGAGGGUCUUCUGAGAAAUUCAGUCCCUAAAACAUCUCUUCUGCAGUGAUAGAAGAACAGUAUCAGUAGCAACCUUUUCAUUUAGAGAACUUUUUCUUGUUCCAGGCCCUUCAGGACAGGAUCUGACUGCAAGACUCCCCAAAAUGGGUACCCAUCUUCUAAGUUUCCUUUUGUAGCUACUGUAUUUUCACCUUGAUGCAAUGUGCCUCUCAUGCAUCAAGAUGGGGCUGAUGUGGUUCUCCCGGGUGGUUGGGAACGUGGGCUAGAGAGAAAAGUAGAGUGCCAUGUAUAUCACAUGAGUAAGUCAAGAAAGCUCCUUGAGAAUCAGCCCGAUCAGGGAGUGUUUUGGCUUCAGAACAGGUGGAAGGAGACAUGCCCCUCUGUGGGCUCUGUCGCCAUGAUACAGUCCUUGAGAGAGCUGUGGCUGUGACUUGGAGGGCAGUAGUCUCCUGAUACCUGCCUCUUGGCCACUUGUCACUAUUGUGGUCACUGGUCUGUCAUGUAAAAGUGAGGGCGACGGGGUCAUGGACCAGCGCCUCAGUGCAUUAGUCAUCUGCUUUCCCUUACAGACUAAUCAGAUAACUCUUCCCUAGUGAUUGUCAAAUGUAUGAAUGUAUCUCUGUAAAUGUGAUUUUGACAUGUCACUGUUCCUGAAGAGCAAUGGAAUCCCCAUAGGAUAUUAUAUCUUGCAAGGAAAGUCUAUUUUUUUUUAAAGAAUAGUAUAUUUUUAGCUUUCCUUUCCUUUCUUUCUUUUUUUUUUUUUUUUUUUUUUUUUUUUCCUUUUCCCUCAAAUGCUCACUUGCUGGGCAAAAGGGUGAGUAGCAAGAAAAGUAACGAAAUGUAGCUUUUCUCAAAUGGUUCUUUUAUACUGUGGAUGAUACAGGACUCUGUUACCUAAGAUGUGAUGAGCUGGGCUGCAGGCGGUUCAGCAUCCAGCAACUAGGAGCUUCUUUUCUACGCACAAAGCUGCCUUCAGGAAGGCUUCUUACCCUGUAGCAGAUGAUUUUCAUCUGGCUGCCUACCGCAUGCUGUACUGUAAUGAUUUUGUUGUGAUAUGGAUUUCUCUCUGCAUCAAAAACUGUCUUUUGAUGAUCAAACAAUGUUUAUAUUUAGUUAUUUAUUCUAUCCAUGUAAGGCAUUUUUGAGUUUUCAUGUCACUGUUUGCAUGUAUUUAAUCAGAAUGUAAUAUAGUUUAUGUUGUCGAGUUUUUUUUUUUUUUUUUUUUUUUUUUUGUAGAAAUUUAGGUAGCUAGACCUUUUAAGUCUAAUGUCAUAUUAACUUAAGUUAAUUUUCCAGAAUGUAGAUAUCUGUCUUCUGUAAAAGGAAAAUAGCAAUGUUAAGGGACAGUGGAUUUUUUUGAAUACUUUGUUUCUCAUUGAUUUUUAUUAUAAGUGUAAACCAAGAGAUGCAUUUCUCUGGAGAAAUGUUUAUCUCCUGGAUUAAUAAAAUCAUACUAAAA